UACAGAGGUCUCAAGCGUUGUUCGGAUUCAUUGGGCGUAAAGGGUGCGUAGGCGGCGCGGUAAGUCGGGUGUGAAAUCUUGGAGCUUAACUCCGAAACUGCAUUCGAUACUGCCGUGCUUGAGUACUGGAGAGGAGACUGGAAUUUACGGUGUAGCGGUGAAAUGCGUAGAUAUCGUAAGGAAGACCAGUGGCGAAGGCGGGUCUCUGGACAGUUCCUGACGCUGAGGCACGAAGGCCAGGGGAGCAAACGGG
rnacentral:rRNA from 1 species